GACGAACGCUGGCGGCGUGCUUAACACAUGCAAGUCGAACGGAAAGGCCCUGCUUUUGUGGGGUGCUCGAGUGGCGAACGGGUGAGUAACAAGUGAGUAACCUGCCCUUGACUUUGGGAUAACUUCAGGAAACUGGGGCUAAUAUCGGAUAGGAGCUCCUGCUGCAUGGUGGGGGUUGGAAAGUUUCGGCGGUUGGGGAUGGACUCGCGGCCUAUCAGCUUGUUGGUGGGGUAGUGGCUUACCAAGGCUUUGACGGGUAGCCGGCCUGAGAGGGUGACCGGCCACAUUGGGCCUGAGUUACGGCCCCGACUCCUACGGGAGACAGCAGUGGGGAAUAUUGCACCAUGAGCGGACGCCUGCUGCAGCAACGCCGCGUGCGGGAUGACGGCCUUCGGGUUGUAAACCGCUUGCUCCUGUGACGAAGCGUGAAUGACGGUAAUGAGUAAAAAAGCCCCGGCAAACUACGUG
rnacentral:rRNA from 1 species